UUAAAGGCCACGCCCUAUCCACACGGAUUCUCUCUUCUGGAAGGUGAUUCGCUGCGACAGAGUGGGGACAGCCGUUUCCCGACUCACAAUUGGAUGUCUCUUAUCCGCCCCUAUGACGUCACGAGUGCCAGGUCCGCUGCAACGAACGCGGCCGCUGGAGUCCUUGAGAAGAAGAGCUAAUUGCCCGCGGGAACGGAAGAUGCAUUCUUUCUCGAGGGUUGCUGAAUUCUUGAGUCCGGGAAGAAGCUAAUUGCCUGAAGAGGGAAAGACGCGUUGCUUUUGAAAAGCCUGUUUAUAUUAUCUCCACGUCACAUUGCUUGUUUUCGUUCCGGACAGAAGAAUCGGUGUGCGUUCAAAGGGGAAACAUGGAG